rnacentral:misc_RNA from 1 species
AUGUAUUUUGGAGGGAAAUAUUGUUAGUAGAGCAGUUGGAAUAAACUAAAUCAAUUAGGAAGUUGUUAGCUUAACUGAAUUGGUGAGUGGCUGAUAAGCUACUCUGUUAUGAAUCGGAAUACUGAUUGAAAAAUUCAUUCUACCCUUGAAUCAAUGCAAAGAUAUCUUCUCUUCUCAAGAAUUCUAUUAUCUUCUCAUCUGAAUCUCUCUCUCUUCUCAUCUAAUUUUUGUUUUCUCGAGAUUCCUGUUUCAAUCUGUGCAUCCAAAGAUCGAUCCUAGACUGAUAACCGACACAAUAUCAUGCAUUAAUUGAGAAAGAACAUGCAUAUGACUUUCUCAUAGGACUAAAUAUUGAG